GACGAACGCUGGCGGCGUGCCUAAUACAUGCAAGUCGAGCGCAGGAAAUCGACGGAACCCUUCGGGGGGAAGUCGACGGAAUGAGCGGCGGACGGGUGAGUAACACGUAAAGAACCUGCCCUCAGGUCUGGGAUAACCACGAGAAAUCGGGGCUAAUACCGGAUGGGUCAUCGGACCGCAUGGUCCGAGGAUGAAAGGCGCUUCGGCGUCGCCUGGGGAUGGCUUUGCGGUGCAUUAGCUAGUUGGUGGGGUAAUGGCCCACCAAGGCGACGAGGCAUAGCCGACCUGGGAGGGUGAUCGGCCCCACUGGGACUGAGGCACGGCCCAGACUCCGACGGGAGGCAGCAGUAGGGAAUCUUCCACAAUGGGCGAAAGUCUGAUGGAGCAACGCCGCGUGAACGAUGAAGGCCUUCGGGUCGUAAAGUUCUGUUGUAAGGGAAGAACAAGUGCCGCAGGCAAUGGCGGCACCUUGACGGUACCUUGCGAGAAAGCCACGGCUAACUACGUGCCAGCAGCCGCCGUAA
rnacentral:rRNA from 1 species